GACGAACGCUGGCGGCGUGCUUAACACAUGCAAGUCGAACGGAAAGGCUCCAGCUUGCUGGAGUACUCGAGUGGCGAACGGGUGAGUAACACGUGGGUAAUCUGCCCUGCACUCUGGGAUAAGCCUUGGAAACUGGGUCUAAUAAUGGAUAUGAACUUUCUCCUUCUGGGGUUUGGUGGAAAGUUUUUCGGUGUAGGAUGAGCCCGCGGCCUAUCAGCUUGUUGGUGGGGUGAUGGCUUACCAAGGCGACGACGGGUACCCGGCCUGAGAGGGUGAUCGGCCACAUUGGGACUGAGAUACGGCCCAGACUCCUACGGGAGGCAGCAGUGGGGAAUAUUGCACAAUGGGCGGAAGCCUGAUGCAGCGACGCCGCGUGAGGGAUGACGGCCUUCGGGUUGUAAACCUCUUUCAGCAGGGACGAAGCGUAAGUGACGGUACCUGCAGAAGAAGCACCGGCUAACUAUGUG
rnacentral:rRNA from 1 species